GUCUCAGGCCGUAUCAGCCUGAAGGCGCUCGAUCUCGUCUGAUCUCGGAAGCUAAGCAGGGUCGGGCCUGGUUAGGUAUCUUGGGAUGGGAGACCACCUGGGAAUCCCGGGUGCUCGAGGCU
rnacentral:rRNA from 1 species